AGCGAACGCUGGCGGCAGGCCUAACACAUGCAAGUCGAACGAACCUUUCGGGGAUAGUGGCGGACGUGGGAGUAACACGUGGGAACGUGUUUUUAGGUUCGGAAUAACUCAGGGAAUCUUGUGCUAAUACCGAAUGUGCCCCUGGGGGGAAAGAUUUAUCGCCUUUAGAGCGGCCCGCGUCCGAUUAGCUAGUUGGUUGAGGUAAUGGCUCACCAAGGCGACGAACAGUAUCUGGUCUGAGAGGAUGAUCAGCCACAUUGGGACUGAGACACGGCCCAAACUCCUACGGGAGGCAGCAGUGGGGAAUCUUGCGCAAUGGGCGAAAGUCUGACGCAGCCAUGCCGCGUGAAUUAUGAAGGUCUUAGGAUUGUAAAGUUCUUUGGUCGGGGACGAUAAUGACGGUACCCGGAGAAGAAGCCCCGGCUAACUUCGUG
rnacentral:rRNA from 1 species